CAGAUGGCAAGCCAACAAACU
rnacentral:siRNA from 1 species